GACGAACGCUGGCGGCGUGCUUAACACAUGCAAGUCGAACGGAAAGGCCCUGCGUUUGUGGGUUUCUCGAUUGGCGAACAGGGGAGUAACACACGAGUAACCUGCCCUUAACUGUGUGAGAACUUCAGGAAACUGGGGCUCAUACCCGAUAGGAUCUCCUGCUGCAUGGGGUGGGUUGGAAAGUUUCGGCGGUUGGGGCUGGACUAGCGGGUUACCAGCUAGUUAGGCGGGUAGUCGCUUACGAAGGCUUCGACGGGUAGCCGGCCUGAGAGCGUGACCGGCCACAUUGGUACUGAGGUACGGACCAGUAGCGUAUGGGAGGCAGCAGUCGAGAGUAUUGCAGAAUGGGCGCAAGUCUGAUGCAGAAACGCCGCGUGCGGGAUGACGUCCUUCGGGUUGUAAACAGCUGUCGCCUGUGACGAAGCGGGCGUGACGGUAAUGGGUAAAGAAGCACCGGCUAACUACGUG
rnacentral:rRNA from 1 species